ACCCAGGUCGCGUAGUGGUUAACGCCUGGCCGACUCAUCGAGAGUAGUGGGUUCGAAUCCCGCCCUGGUAA